AUUAAUGAUUACUUUUCUGUCGAUCAACUGUUUAAGACCUGAAUUAAACUACCCAACAGUAUGUACAGUAGUUAUAAUUAGCUCCACCCAUCAGCUACAUAAUUGAAAAGCUGUUUACAUGUUAAUGUGUCAAUAAUAAUAAAGUAAAACAGUUUGAAAGGGGGAAUUCUACAUAGUGAGUACUUUUACUUUUGAUACUGAAAACCUGCAAUAUUUGUUUGAUUUGUUUUGGCCACUUGGGGGCAGUGGAAACAGUUGAUAUGGCGAACUUGUUAGCAAACAGUUGCGUAUUUACACAUCCAGCACUUACGGAGUUACAUUAUCGUUCAUUUGAAGUUGUUUCACCUGGUCAAUAGGUGGUGUUAUCAUUCUACCUGUGAUCAUCAAGGUGUCUGUGGAGGUUUGGGUGAAGGACACGAACCUUGACUCUCAAAGCUUGCUGCUCUUCCAGGCCACUGCAAGCAUAAAGGUGAACCUUAAACAACAAAUCCUAGAAAGGCUGUGGCAGGUCAUCUGAUUUUUAAGAAUCUGUGGAACAACCUGACAAAGGACAUACUAGAUGAAACUAACACCCUGUCUUGCCUCUGGCUCGGACCUCUUGCAGGCAGGCGAUGAUCCUAUCUGGCUGUGUGCGCUCUCUGUAUGGGUGAGCUGCAGAGAUAGUGUGCCUAUAGGGAGAAGCAGCUCAUCAGCACAUCACCUGGGACAAAAGGCCAACGCAGGGAGAAGGGAUAACACUGUUGUGUAAUCACAGUUAACAGAGACACCGCUUCAGUCUUGGUCUAUCUCCUUUUUAUCGGACUGGAUUAUCAGACUCGGGGUAAUGGUUUGGGGGGAAUGGAUGGGGCAGGGAUGCAAAAGCCAGCAAUCUGGGUUGUCAGGCUCUUCUUUAUUUCAGGCUUUUAGGAGGUUUGAGAAGUGGAGAGACAGAAAUAGCAAGGACAGAAAGGAAAAGUACCAAUACUGUGAGAGAAACAACACAGUUCUUGAUGGAUGUUUUUUUUAUUUCCCUCUUAAGAUGCUGGAGAUUAGAUAACUGUCCACAUUUUUGUGCUGUUUUGAAAGGGAAUUAUAGGGCACAGGAGUGAUACAAAAUCGGUAUUCCUUCUUCAGGACCAACUCCAAUUGACUUUAUUUAUAUUUUUUGGCAGAUUCAGUUUGGUCAACAAACCCGUUUUGUAUCUAUUGAGCCAACGAAUCUGUCAAACUUGGCCAACAAUGCAACCAUCAUCUAAUGUGUUGGAUCAGAAAUGUCAACUUUAGCUAUAACUGAAAAAUGAUUACUGUGGCUAUUCUUUUUAUUUACAUAAUCUUUAAUCACCUGGAUUGGGUUGCACCAGCUAUUCCUAAAUCCAUCCAAGUUUGUGUGUAAAGUCAUAGUAAGUACAAGCUAUCUUCAAACUAGUGAUUAACUGAUUUCUACAGCCUACGAACUCAUUUGUAUGCCUUCUAGGAUUAUGGUGUGGGGUUUUUUGCCAGUAAAGUAAAAAAAAGUUUGUCUUGAAUAUAAGAUCAAGUGUUUCUCCGCCAGAUUGUUCUGUCUGUCUGUGUCUGAAUACAGCUGUCACUCUGCGACUCCGACUGAAUGCUUUCUUUGAAUUUGCUUCAAUUCAGCUAAGUGCUCCUCUUCCAUAACCUUUCUGCGUGGUAUUAACAAAAUUAUGGAUUCAAAAUGGCCUUUCUGAUUACUUUUUUGCCAUCAGUGGGGUAAUGCUAGCAGUUUUACACACUGCUACACACAGUGUGUCAUAAAAUGGAAGAAAUGGCAUUUGAGGGAAAGGAGUACCAUUUGAAGCCUAGCCUGCAUGUAUGAGAGAUCAUGCAUUCUUGUCAGAUAGGUAUGCAGAGCUAUCCAUUUAAUAUCUCAUUAAAUAUUUUAAUAUGGCCUUGGGCAGAGAUCCACAGAGGAUCAAGACAUUUACUCUCCUCAUUAACCAUUCAAAAUGACAAUGCCUUUGCUUUCUGCCCUCCAUAGUAAGACCUAGAAAUAACCAUCUGCAUAGAAAAAUGAUCAUAUUAUGAUGUACAGCACACAUUAUAGAUAGGACUGUACUU